UACGUAGGGUGCGAGCGUUGUCCGGAAUUACUGGGCGUAAAGAGCUCGUAGGCGGUCUGUCGCGUCGGCUGUGAAAUCCCGAGGCUCAACCUCGGGUCUGCAGUCGAUACGGGCAAACUAGAGUAUUGCAGGGGAGACUGGAAUUCCUGGUGUAGCGGUGAAAUGCGCAGAUAUCAGGAGGAACACCGGUGGCGAAGGCGGGUCUCUGGGCAAUAACUGACGCUGAGGAGCGAAAGCGUGGGGAGCGAACAGG
rnacentral:rRNA from 1 species